CCUACGGGAGGCAGCAGUGGGGAAUAUUGGGCAAUGGGGGGAACCCUGACCCAGCAACGCCGCGUGGAGGAAGAAGGUUUUCGGAUCGUAAACUCCUGUCCUUGGAGACGAGUAGAAGACGGUAUCCAAGGAGGAAGCCCCGGCUAACUACGUGCCAGCAGCCGCGGUAAUACGUAGGGGGCAAGCGUUGUCCGGAAUAAUUGGGCGUAAAGGGCGCGUAGGCGGCUCGGUAAGUCUGGAGUGAAAGUCCUGCUUUUAAGGUGGGAAUUGCUUUGGAUACUGUCGGGCUUGAGUGCAGGAGAGGUUAGUGGAAUUCCCAGUGUAGCGGUGAAAUGCGUAGAGAUUGGGAGGAACACCAGUGGCGAAGGCGACUAACUGGACUGUAACUGACGCUGAGGCGCGAAAGUGUGGGGAGCAAACAGGAUUAGAUACCCCGGUAGUC
rnacentral:rRNA from 1 species